GGGUUGUGAGGUUAAGCGACUAAGCGUACACGGUGGAUGCCCUGGCAGUCAGAGGCGAUGAAGGGCGUGCUAAUCUGCGAUAAGCGCCGGUAAGGUGAUAUGAACCGUUAUAACCGGCGAUACCCGAAUGGGGAAACCCAGUGUGACUCGUCACACUAUCAUUAACUGAAUCCAUAGGUUAAUGAGGCGAACCGGGGGAACUGAAACAUCUAAGUACCCCGAGGAAAAGAAAUCAACCGAGAUUCCCCCAGUAGCGGCGAGCGAACGGGGAGGAGCCCAGAGCCUGAAUCAGCAUGUGUGUUAGUGGAAGCGUCUGGAAAGGCGCGCGAU
rnacentral:rRNA from 2 species